rnacentral:rRNA from 2 species
ACCAAUCACGGGGGUUUCACGGCGGGCUUCUUCAAGCAGUCGACGCACCUUUCGGGGUGAGUGGCAGACGGGUGAGUAACACGUGGGAACGUGCCCUUCAGUUCGGAAUAACCCAGGGAAACUUGGGCUAAUACCGGAUACGUGCGAGAGCAGAAAGAUUUAUCGCUGAAGGAUCGGCCCGCGUCUGAUUAGCUAGUUGGUGAGGUAAGGCUCACCAAGGCGACGAUCAGUAGCUGGUCUGAGAGGAUGAUCAGCCACACUGGGACUGAGACACGGCCCAGACUCCUACGGGAGGCAGCAGUUAGGAAUCUUGGACAAUGGGCGCAAGCCUGAUCCAGCCAUGCCGCGUGAGUGAUGAAGGCCUUAGGGUUGUAAAGCUCUUUCAGCGGGGAAGAUAAUGACGGUACCCGCAGAAGAAGCCCCGGCUAACUACGUGCCAGCAGCCGCGGU